rnacentral:rRNA from 1 species
GAUGAACGCUGGCGGCGUGCUUAAUACAUGCAAGUCGAACGAGGGUUUCAGCAAUGGGAUCCGAGUGGCGAACGGGUGAGUAACGCGUUGGUGACCUGCCCCGAAGAGAGGGAUAACAGACCGAAAGGUUUGCUAAUACCGCAUAAGCUCUUACUAGUUAGAGAGGUAAGAGGAAAGGCCGAAAGGCGCUUUGGGAGGGGCCUGCGUCCCAUCAGCUAGUUGGCGAGGUAAAAGCUCACCAAGGCGAUGACGGGUAGGGGACCUGAGAGGGUGACCCCCCACAAUGGAACUGAAACACGGUCCAUACACCUACGGGUGGCUG